UCCUCCGUGGCGCAAUCGGAUAGCGCGUCUGACUGUUAACUCUAAACUAGCAAAUCAGGAGGUUGGAAGUUCGAGCCUUCCCGGGGGAG